rnacentral:tRNA from 1 species
GAAAUAUGAUGACCAAGUGAAAGCUGCUAACUUAACACUUUAACGGUUAAAAUCCGUUUAUAUUUCU